GAUGAACGCUGGCGGCGUGCCUAAUACAUGCAAGUCGAGCGAACAGACGAGGAGCUUGCUCCUCUGACGUUAGCGGCGGACGGGUGAGUAACACGUGGAUAACCUACCUAUAAGACUGGGAUAACUUCGGGAAACCGGAGCUAAUACCGGAUAAUAUAUUGAACCGCAUGGUUCAAUAGUGAAAGACGGUUUUGCUGUCACUUAUAGAUGGAUCCGCGCCGCAUUAGCUAGUUGGUAAGGUAACGGCUUACCAAGGCAACGAUGCGUAGCCGACCUGAGAGGGUGAUCGGCCACACUGGAACUGAGAGACGGUCCAGACUCCUACGGGAGGCAGCAGUAGGGAAUCUUCCGCAAUGGGCGAAAGCUUGACGGAGCAACGCCGCGUGAGUGAUGAAGGUCUUCGGAUCGUAAAACUCUGUUAUUAGGGAAGAACAAAUGUGUAAGUAACUAUGCACGUCUUGACGGUACCUAAUCAGAAAGCCACGGCUAACUACGUG
rnacentral:rRNA from 1 species